GCACGCUCGCCUUGGAUCCAAGUAGAUGCUAGUCGUACAGUCCACGCGGAGUGGGUACGACAGACCAGUCGCGAGAGUGUUAGUGAGAUUCCGACUGGUGGGUGACCUUAGAUUAUGUGCACAGAUGAUUUAUGAGAAGCACUAGAGCGUAACUUGCGUUGCAGAAGGCCGGACGGGUCACAGAGGUGACUCCGGUAGAGUGAUAAUGAUAGAUUUUGAGCUCUAGGUUCAACCGUACAGGGCUAUUAGAGGGCCUACGGUUGAUUACUUUCUUGCACCUGAUAUGAUUAUGUUGAUGCAUUCAUACCUUAUUACUGUUGAGAUGAUGUGGCAUGGCAUAAUUAAUAUGAGAAAUGUUGAGAUGAUGUGGCAUGGCAUAACUGAUAUGAAAAAUGUUGAAAAAGUGAAAUGAAGUAUUGAGAAUAUAUAUGUAUAUUUAUAUUUUACAUUUCUGGGAAAGUAUACAGGUUUUACGGAGAGGGGUUACAACGUUAUGAGAAAUGUUUGGAUUUGGAAAAGAAUUGUUUUACUGACCCACUCAAUUUUGGUUUUGCGCCCCUCCAGGUUCAGGAAUCACAAAGGUGUGGUGACUACGAGGAAUACGGCGGGGUUCUGACAGAUUGACAAAAUUAGGACUCACCUUCGGGUGUAUCAACUUAUAAAUUGUAUCUUAAAGCUUCCGUACUGUGCAAAUGGUUACGUCACUCUCACGUGACGGCCAGCAUGCCCUCAUUCGGGACGGGGUGUGUCAGUUGGUAUCAGAGCAUGGUUGCAAUCUUGGACAUCUUGAGAAGUUUCUAGUGAAUUCUGUCAGAACUACACCGCCUCGUAGCACACCACGUAGUUAGAGGAAUUUAGUCUCCCUAAUAUAGCGGUUUUGGGGGGAAACUAUUACUAUGGUGAUUCAGUCUAUUGUCUAAAGGGGCAUUUUAAGAUGGGUUAUGAGUUGAAUUUGAAUCACUUAAGAGAAAUGAUGAACCUGAGGGAGCGAAGUAACGGUUUAACCAUUUGGAAAAGAUGUUUCGGAUUAUGCAAGUCAAAGGAAUCUUCCUUCUGACAAGGGGUCGAGAUGACUACCUGGUUUGAGUAUGAACGUGUAUCUUGAUGGAAGCAGGAGUAUUAAUUGUUGUCACCAGAGGAAUCAGUCGAUUUAAAAUUGUUUAAGGACUUGUUUAAGGAAAAGUUUAUCCCUCCGGCAUUUAUCGAUGGUAGUAAACAAGAGUUUACAAAUAUGAGACAAGGAAGGUGAUGAUCGAGGGAUAUUAUAGAAAGUUUUCAGACUUGCCUCGUUCCAUCCAGAUAUUGUUGUUAAUUUGGUGGAGGUGUUAUGUUGUUUUAAGCUGGGUGGCAAAAAGGGAAGUGGUAUUUUGGGUGACCACUAUCCAUUAUACUUCUUACCAGGAAUAUACGAGAUGCUGUUGAGUCUUGAGGACUCUGAGAACAUGAGCAACGAGAAUAAAGAAGAAUAAGAAAUGAAUGGGAAUUAAAAGAAGACGAUAAAGUUAAUGAUUCGUCAUAUCAAGGAGAUAGAAAGAUUCAGAGCUUCGAAAGAAGUGAAGCUAGAGUUAAUUCUUCCAGCUGAGGUUUUAAUGUCGCUGGUCAGAGUAAAAGUGAUGGAUAUACUGGUAAUCCCAGAUAUUUGAGACAAGGUGUCUCGAGUAAAGGAAAUGUACCUUGUGCAGCAGGUACAAAAUUAACACUUUGGGAAGUGUGAAAUUAAUGAAUGUGUUUAUGUGAACAGAGGGGACACAGAAUUGUGAAUCGUCCCUAGAAUCAGUUGUACUCAAUAAUUUUCCAUGAUAUCAUAGUGUCGAUUCAGAAGAGUUAUAAACUUAGUAGUUUGGUCGGAUUGACUGUGAGUACAGAGAGAUUUGAUGAGUUAUAUGUUCAGCCGUACAGACCAUGAGAAGUGGAUUCGAUUGACACAUGAGAAAUUGGUGAGUUAUAGGCUCGGCCGUACCGACCACGCGGAGUGGAUCCGGCUGACGUAUUAUUGAGAUAAGAGUUGAAUCAACCGUAUUGGUCAUUCUAGUUGACUUCGGCUGAUAUAUUUCUUAUUAUGUAUGUUAUUACCUAGAGAGUAGUAAAUAAAUGUAGUUGAGACGAGUGUAUGUAUUUUGCCUUGAGUAACAAAAUAGUAAUGUUAUAUCUUUGAGAGUGGUUGCCUACUUAUCGAGACAACGAUGAUUUAUCAGUAUUGCGGGCUGCAGACCGUAAUAUUAAUAACUCAUUCGUGGAUUCGUUAAGCAAGCAAACCGGUAGGUUAUUUUAUGUUAGUGUUGUACUUAUUUAGAAUGCUUAAUAAUAAUAGAAUAUAUAUUGUAUCAGUUAAUUAUGUUCCAUUAGAUUGGUUGGUUAUAAUUGUGACAAGACGGAAUGUUACGGGAAACCAGUACUUUCCAUCGAUCUGGAUGACCAGAGAUUACUUUUGUAAGUAUGCAAAGUGGAUUGAGUCAGGCCGUUAUUUAUGCUGUGAGAGCAAAGAGAUUGUUUUCGAAAGGCUGUCAAAAAUACUUAGCUCAUGUGGUGCUAAAUGAUGUUGUUUGGAGUAGUGUGAAUAAUGUCGAAAGAGUUAGACUUUUCUUGAUGUCUUCCUUGAAAGUAUACCUGGAUUGCCUUCAGGCAGAGAUGAGGUUCAUUAUUGAUUUGUUGCCAGGUAUAAAUUUAUAUUGGAGAUUGGUUCAGGAUGAGUUAAGGGAAUUGGAAAUUCAGUUGAAAGAAUUGGUUGAUAAAAGUUUCAUUCAACCUAGUACAACACUUUUGAGGAGCCCCAGUUUGUUGGUGAGAAAGAAAAUGGACUUAGAGAUUGUUCAUUGAUUAUAGACAAUGAAGUCGGGUAACGAUUAAGAACCGUUAUCUAUGGUGAUGUACUGAUGUUUAUUUAACCAGCUCAGAAGUAAUUGCGAAGAUUCAAAGAUUGAAUUGAGAUCUGGUUACUACCAAUUGAAUAUUAUAAGUGACGUUGAUCAUAAGAUGGUUUCUGGACUUGUUAUGAUCCUUAUAAAGUUUGGUGAUGCUAUGUGGAUACUCAUGCGGUUUUAUGAGUUGAUGGAUGAAGUAUUCCAAUAAUGCCUUGAUAAUUGAUAUCAUUUUCAUUGAAGAUAUUCUGGCAUAUUCUGAGCCAGAGCAGAGCAUGUAAACGUAUUAAGUCGGUAGAACAAAGAUUGGAAGAAUGUCGAUUGUAUGCUAAGUUUAGCAAAUGCGAAUGUUGGAUGAAUCAAGCAGCAUUUCUGGGAUAUGUUAUAUAUUCUUAAGGUAUUCAAGUGAAUCCUUAAAAGGUAACAGAAAUUAAAAUUUGGAACAACCACGAGUCGUAAUUGAGAUUUGGAAUUUCUUAGCUUACCAGGCUAUCUUGGAUGGUUGUGAAAGAUUUUUUCAGUCAUUGCUUUGUCAUUGACGAGACUGUUGAGAAAAGAGGUUAGGUAUGAGUGGGAAGGAAUUGUAAGCAAAGGAUUCAACAACUGAAGUAUUUCCACACUCAUGCACGUAUUUUGGUAUUCCCAGAGAAUAGUGGUAAUCAUAAAUUUUUAGUGAUGUUUCUUGAAUGGUAUUGGAGGCAUGUUGAUGCAAAUGUUAGGGUGAUUGCAUACGUUUCACGAUAAAUGGAAUCUCAUAAGAUGAAUUACCCUACUGGUGAUUUGGAAGUCACGAUUACCAUUCUUGCUGUGAAGUUAUGGAGACAUUAUAUUUUAGUGGGAAUGCAAGAUUUUUUUUUUUACGAAUCCAAAAAGUCUUCAAUAUCCAUUACUUGGAAGGAUUUUGAUAUGAGGCAGCGAAAGUGAAUUGUAUUGCUUAAUGAACAUGAUUGUACGAUCAGGGUGAUCGUAAAGUUUGUUCUAGCUGAAGCACUUGGUGAGAAGACUACAGUAAGAUUAAUAUCUGGCAUGUUUGCCAAGAGUAUCAUCUUGUGGAUUGAAAACCAACGGAAGAAAAAUUAAGGAUGGAAGAUCGAGAAGAAGUUAUACUUGUUAAGUAACAAGUUAGUACAUUUACUCCAGUGUUGAGUAACAACCUUUCCCAGACAGUGCAACACUACUUAUUUGUUUUAUGGAAAAGAGAAUUGGAUUACGGAACUGCUAAGUUUCUUAAGUAUGUUGGUUGUGCAGUUUCCGAAGUAACGCCAUAAGGACCAUGAAAUGUGUCACGUGAGUCAGUUUUUGAUGACUUGUGAAUGGAAUGUUUCUGGGUAGAGAAAGAUUCGAUCAAGAAAGAGUUUUAGUAGACCCUGAGACUAUGGAUGAGUCUCCUCAAAGUAUUCAGGUGAUUAAGUUAACCUGAAGUAACCAGGAAUGGCAAAAGAGAUCAACAGAUGGAUAUGCCACUAAUCGAGUGUGUAAGGUAAAUGGUUUGAUAUUUUUGGAAAAUUCACCACGAACAGAAAUGACGAGAAUUGGAAAAGAGACAAGAUAAGAUUUAGACACAUCAGACCAUUUUUUUUAUCACUAAAGGAAUCAAUAAAGUUGCAUACAAGUUUGUGAUGCCUUCAGAAUUGGCUAAGGCACAUAAUGUAUUUUGUGUUCGAUGCGUUGUCACUAAGUGGCAGGGUCGUUACAUGGGACUUUGGUGCAACUAUUGAGAAUUAAGCCGGAUAUGAUUGGUGAGGAACUAAUGUCGACGUUGGAUUGGAAAAAGAAGGUCCUAAGAAUUAAGACAGAGUAAGUAGUAAAAGCUUUGUGAAGGAAAUCAUUCAGUAGAAAAUUAUGUGGGAGAAAGAGAAUCGGAUGAGAUUUAUCCGAGGCUAUUGUAUGAGUAUAGAUGAUUUGGUUGGUUGCUGGAAUUUCGGGGACGAAAUUCUAUAAGGAGGGGAGAUUGUCACAGCCCGUCCCGGAAUUUUUAAUUCCGAGGACAUGAAAUUACGGAAAUGUCCCUAAUACGUGACUAAGGUAUAAUUUUCACGUUCGUUAUAUCUAAGCUCCAAAAAAAUUUGGUAAUUAGAGUGGAGACUUAGACUUAAAUUUUAUGAUGGAAUUUUAUGAAAUUGGGAUUGGUUUGGACAUGUGGGAUCCCCACACCUCAAAACCCUCCCCAUUUCCCGUAUACUGUCCUUCAUACUCUCUCUCUUCCUCAGACCUCACUCUCUCUCUCUCUCACCCUCUCGAACACACAGGCAACCACCCAAAACCACCUAAAACUUAUACCAACGUCGGAUUUAAAGCUACCAUGGCAUUCCUGAGGACUCCACGAUCACGUAGACACCAAUUUCAGGUAAGUUUUACUUCGGAAAACCUAGAUUCUAAACUCCCCGUGAAAGUGCACUGUUCAUGAUCUUCGAAUUGACUUUGUUUUAGGACAAUCCAAGCUCAUAGCAAGCUUGGUGAGGUCCCAAGGAAGCUCGGAGUGCUUCGUUGGAAGUUUUUGGACGUAAGAACACGGAGAUCGACAAGUUCAAAGUUUGGCCGGAGCUUUCGAGGCGUUUUCCGGCGAAUCCCCGGCGAGUUAGGAGUCAAGGUAGGUAUCAAUCUCUUCGUCUCGUCAAGUACUACAACUUUCCUUUUUGUUUCACUCAAUUUCGUUGAGUAUUGAAGAAGUUAUACGCAUUUGAAAAAUACCCAGUUUCCGGCGACCUCCGAGGCUUUCGAGGCAGUUUCCGGCCAAACCACGGCGAACUAGGUGUUGUGCAAGGUACCAUUAUCUUUUUCUCUUCAAGGGCUACAACUUUCGUUUUUGAAUCACUUGAUUUCGUUGAGAAAUGACAAAGUUAUGGCAAUUUGAAAAACUGCCCAGAAAACGGCCGCCGGAAAAACCAGUCCGGCGACCCAAGGAAGAAGAAGGUGCUACAGUAAAAAUAAAAAAUAAAAAUAAAAUUAUUUUAAAAAUAUAUGUCGACGUCCGUGACGUCGAGUAGAUCACUGUGGUAUAUUCAUAUACCUAAAUUGAACACCGUAUGAGAAAGUUAUUAAGGAUUGUUGGUUAGGUGUUCAAAUAACGUUUUAUAGUUUUCACAUUUAGGUGAAAAUGUGAAUUGAUGAUCCGACCGUUGGAUCAUCACCAAACCUUGAUACGUUGUAAUACGUAAUAUUUGAGGAUUAUUGGAACUUACAGAUUGGGAAUCCGAUUUGCGGAUCUUCCGGAAUUGGAAUUGUAAGUCCAUAAUAUAAAAUGUUAACCGUCACUUAGUUUUGGAAAUUGACGGAGAUCCGACCGUUGGAUGGUAAUGAAAUUUUAGGAUGUUAUCCUAGAGAUAUAUUGUGGACCUCUGGAAGUUAUGGAUUUAAAAUCUGAGGGGUGGAUCUUCCGGAUCAAUCUACGUAGUGACGUAUUUUAUAUAAGUUAUAUAUUCUAUCGAUAUGAAUUCUGAGGUUGGAUUUGAUUACUAUUCUAGGCGGCGAUCGUCGUGACGCCUUGUUGUGAGGUGCUAGGGAGUUGUUGGACGAACUCCAGGUGAGUGGGCAGUUUUGUUUUCCGUAUAUAUAUAUAUACUUAACGUUUUCCCAGAAAUUGAAAAAUGCAUGAAAUUAUGUUUUAAAAUGAAAUGCAUAUGAGUUAUGUGGAAAAACGGGAAGUGAAAUACCAUGCAUAGAAUUGAUAUGAAAAGUAUAUAGAAAUGUGAGUUGAAAUGCCAUGCAUGAAUUAAUAUAUGAUGCAUAUGUAUGAAUUGGUGCGGUGGACGCACAAGUAAGAAUUGAUUUAUGAUGCAUAUGUAUGAAUUGGUGCGGUGGACGCACAGGUAAGAAUUGAUUUAUGAUGCAUAUGUAUGAAUUGGUGCGGUGGACGCACAGGUAAGAAUUGAUUUAUGAUGCAUAUGUAUGAAAUGGUGCGGUGGACGCACAGAUGAGUAUUUAAUUACUGUUAUGAUGAUGAUGAUGAUAUAUAUUGAGCUCAAAUCCUGCACCAUGGUUUAGUGCUUAUAGUAUUCACCGCAUCGCACGCUCGCCUUGGAUCCAAGUAGAUGCUAGUCGUACAGUCCACGCGGAGUGGGUACGACAGACCAGUCGCGAGAGUGUUAGUGAGAGAUUCCGACUGGUGGGUGACCUUAGAUUAUGUGCACAGAUGAUUUAUGAGAAGCACUAGAGCGUAACUUGCGUGCAGAAGGCCGGACGGGUCACAGAGGUGACUCCGGUAGAGUGAUAAUGAUAGAUUUUGAGCUCUAGGUUCAACCGUACAGGGCUAUUAGAGGGCCUACGGUUGAUUACUUUCUUGCACCUGAUAUGAUUAUGUUGAUGCAUUCAUACCUUAUUACUGUUGAGAUGAUGUGGCAUGGCAUAAUUAAUAUGAGAAAUGUUGAGAUGAUGUGGCAUGGCAUAACUGAUAUGAAAAAUGUUGAAAAAGUGAAAUGAAGUAUUGAGAAUAUAUAUGUAUAUUUAUAUUUUACAUUUCUGGGAAAGUAUACAGGUUUUACGGAGAGGGGUUACAACGUUAUGAGAAAUGUUUGGAUUUGGAAAAGAAUUGUUUUACUGACCCACUCAAUUUUGGUUUUGCGCCCCUCCAGGUUCAGGAAUCACAAAGGUGUGGUGACUACGAGGAAUACGGCGGGGUUCUGACAGAUUGGACAAAAUUAGGACUCACCUUCGGGUGUAUCAACUUAUAAAUUGUAUCUUAAAGCUUCCGUACUGUGCAAAUGGUUACGUCACUCUCACGUGACGGCCAGCAUGCCCUCAUUCGGGACGGGGUGUGUCACUGCGGGCCGCAUAUACUUUGUAAUUUUUAGGGUUAACAAUAUAUAUAUAUAUAUAUAUACAUAU
rnacentral:lncRNA from 1 species